rnacentral:rRNA from 1 species
CGCCAUUGCGGGGUGCUAUACAUGCAGUCGAGCGGACCAAUGAAGAGCUUGCUCUUCGGCGGUUAGCGGCGGACGGGUGAGUAACACGUAGGCAACCUGCCUGUACGACUGGGAUAACUCCGGGAAACCGGAGCUAAUACCGGAUACUUCUUUCAGACCGCAUGGUCUGAAAGGGAAAGACCUUUGGUCACGUACAGAUGGGCCUGCGGCGCAUUAGCUAGUUGGUGGGGUAACGGCCUACCAAGGCGACGAUGCGUAGCCGACCUGAGAGGGUGAUCGGCCACACUGGGACUGAGACACGGCCCAGACUCCUACGGGAGGCAGCAGUAGGGAAUCUUCCGCAAUGGACGAAAGUCUGACGGAGCAACGCCGCGUGAACGAUGAAGGUUUUCGGAUCGUAAAGUUCUGUUGUUAGGGAAGAACCGCCGGGAUGACCUCCCGGUCUGACGGUACCUAACGAGAAAGCCCCGGCUAACUACGUGCCAGCAGCGGGGGGGUAAUUAUGAGUUUGGAUCCUGGCUCAGGACGAACGCUGGCGGCGUGCCUAAUACAUGCAAGUCGAGCGGACCAAUGAAGAGCUUGCUCUUCGGCGGUUAGCGGCGGACGGGUGAGUAACACGUAGGCAACCUGCCUGUACGACUGGGAUAACUCCGGGAAACCGGAGCUAAUACCGGAUACUUCUUUCAGACCGCAUGGUCUGAAAGGGAAAGACCUUUGGUCACGUACAGAUGGGCCUGCGGCGCAUUAGCUAGUUGGUGGGGUAACGGCCUACCAAGGCGACGAUGCGUAGCCGACCUGAGAGGGUGAUCGGCCACACUGGGACUGAGACACGGCCCAGACUCCUACGGGAGGCAGCAGUAGGGAAUCUUCCGCAAUGGACGAAAGUCUGACGGAGCAACGCCGCGUGAACGAUGAAGGUUUUCGGAUCGUAAAGUUCUGUUGUUAGGGAAGAACCGCCGGGAUGACCUCCCGGUCUGACGGUACCUAACGAGAAGACCCGGUUCCC